CCUACGGGAGGCAGCAGUGGGGAAUAUUGCGCAAUGGGCGCAAGCCUGACCCAGCAACGCCGCGUGAAGGAAGAAGGCUUUCGGGUUGUAAACUUCUUUUAUCAGGGACGAAGCAAGUGUCGGUACCUGAUGCAUAAGCCACGGCUAACUACGUGCCAGCAGCCGCGGUACUACGGGGGUGGCAAGCGUUAACCGGAUUUACUGGGUGCAAAGUGCGUGUAGGCGGGAUGGCAAGUCAGAUGUGAAAACUAUGGGCUCAACCUAUGAACUGCAUUUGAAACUGGCCGGCUUGAGUGCUGGAGAGGGGAGUAGAAUUCCAGGUGUAGCGGUGAAAUGCGUAGAGAUCUGGAGGAAUACCGGUGGCGAAGGCG
rnacentral:rRNA from 1 species